rnacentral:rRNA from 1 species
AUUGAACGCUGGCGGCAUGCCUAACACAUGCAAGUCGAGCGGAUGCAGGGAGCUUGCUCCUGGAUUCAGCGGCGGACGGGUGGGUAAUGCCUAGGAAUCUGCCUUGUAGUGGGGGAUAGCGUCCGGAAACGGGCGCUAAUACCGCAUACGUCCUGAGGGCGACAGUGGGGGGUCUUCGGACCUCACGCUAUCAGAUGAGCCUAGGUCGGAUGAGCUAGUUGGUGGGGUAAAGGCCUACCAAGGCGGCGAUCCGUAACUGGUCUGAGAGGAUGAUCAGUCACACUGGCACUGAGACACGGUCCAGACUCCUACGGGAGGCAGCAGUGGGGAAUAUUGGACAAUGGGCGAAAGCCUGAUCCAGCCAUGCCGCGUGUGUGAAGAAGGUCUUCGGAUUGUAAAGCACUUUAAGUUGGGAGGAAGGGCAGUAAGUUAAUACCUGGCUGUUUUGACGUUACCAACAGAAUAAGCACCGGCUAACUUCGUG